rnacentral:lncRNA from 1 species
CAGGGCUGAGGAGGAAGGCGAGGCCACUACAGAAGAGGAGGACAAGGAGGAACCUGCGACUUCUGCACCCUCUGUCAAGGUGGGUCUCACGUGCACUCCUCUCUGGCCCUCCUAGGGUACCUGGGGAUGGGCAGCAUGGAGGCCAGCCCAGACUGCCCUGUGGCUGAGCCCCUCAGGUCAGGCCUCCACUCACUGGCCCCCUGGCUGCCUGGAGGAGGGGUGGGUGCAUCUCUGCUGUGACUGCUGCGUCUCUGUGUGCGCCUCACUACAAGUCCCCAGGGUCGGCCUUAGCUGAAGCCCCGACAUAUGAGUGUCUGCCGUGAUCAGCAGUGUCGUCCCCAUGUGCCCCUCUCAGUCCCUGGGCACCUCCGCUCUAGCACUGACCUUCAUCGAGGCUCACGGCGACCCUCUGGGCCAGUGUUUGCCCGUUAGACCUGCAGGCUAGCAGGACCCAGAAGCUGAGGGCAGGUGCACUGCAUACCCUCAGCCUUUUGGGCACAGGGGGCGCUGGCAGGAUGCUCUCCUCUCUGAGAGCUGCUGGCUCCCAGGAUCCUCCCUGCCUAGCCAUGACUUGGCCAGGAGGCCCUGCUGCUGGCAUGCAAUUUGUCCUGUGGGUCUGACAGUCACUCUUCUUCCUUGCAAGACAUCCCUGGCUCCCAGCAGAUUCUUGGGGAAUUGUCUUGUGCCUUCCUGAUCCUCAGUUUGUUCUCAAUGGCUCAUAACAGGUCCCUCCUGCUCAUGGGGACCCUUGAUGCCAAAGAAAGCCCCAGGCUGCCCAGAGGACCCACCUUCCCCACCCCCAUGAUGCCCCUACCCUGAGCAUGGGUUGAUGACAUGUGGCAGUGAGAAGCCUGGGGUCCUAUCAGGGAUGGCUAGGCCUGGGCUCAGCCCCACUCUGGAGCUUCCCCCCAGCCAGCCCAACCCUACCGUCUGUCAGGUCUGCAGCCUUGUGUCAUAGACAGAGGUAACCCUUGUCAGUGCCAGGAACAAGUUGGGAGGGACUGGCUCAGGCGACAGGAGCUUGGUGUGGUCUUCCUUCUGUCUUGUCUGCUCAUGGCCGGGCUGGUGAGGUGGUGGAGGUCCCUGGCGGUGGCUAACCUGCAUGCCUCGCUGGUCCUGUCCUAACAGGGCGUGUCGUUUGACCAGGCCAAUAACCUGCUGAUAGAGCCUGCUCGCAUUGAGGAGGAAGAGGUCUGUACUGCUCACUGCUGCUCUGUGCUCUGGGCCCGGGUCUGCUGCUGACCUUGCUUCCUGGGCUGCGGGUUCUUGCCUCUCCCCACCCCAUCACUUAAGCAUAGACCCUUUCCCAGAAGAGCUCCUGGCAGCUGCUACAGAAAUGGGGUCCUGGGGCUGCCCCGAUAGGGCCUGCUGGUCUUUUGGCAGAGGCAGCACAUCUCUGCCCCCACUGCGGCCUUUCUUGUAGAGGACAAACAGAGGGCCAACGCCAGGCCAUCCGUGUUCAUUCUCUGCAGCUGUGACUGCCCCACGCCUCAGAUACCUCCCAGCUCCUCUUCUGCCUCUGCUACCCUGGCAGGCGGAGGGACCUCAAAAAGAAACCAAAAGGAGCUGUCUGUGGCUGGCCUUGCUGUGCCGCAAGCACACAGACGGCUCAAGCCCUCCCAAACACAGUGUCUGCUCUGUUUCCAGCUGACCCUCACCAUCGUGCGCCAGACUGGGGGCCUUGGCAUCAGCAUCGCAGGGGGCAAGGGUUCCACCCCCUACAAGGGAGAUGACGAGGUGAGCAGCUGCCCCAGGCUAUAGCUGCCCUGGGCUCCCUCCUGCCCCAGACCUGCCUACACUCACUGGCCCAGAGGCUUCUGCUCCAAGGGGUGUUGGAUGCCUGCCGCCAGCCCCACAGUUCAGUCUUCUGUGUGCUUUGCCUGCACUUGGCCACCAGCCCCAGAGUGCACAGGCUGGGCCCAAGGCAGCAGGCAGACGGGGAUGUGCGCACGUGGGAGUUCACAGUCUAGAGCAGCUUGUUUCUCUUCUGCAAUCUGGUCUUCCCUCACACACUCUGGGCGUAGUGCCCGGGUCAAAGCCCUGACCCGCACUUUCUACUUCCUGGACGUAGGACCCACAGUGGUCUCUACUUAGGCCGUAUGUCUUCCUUCAUGUUCUUGGGGAUCUUUGCAGCAUCCCCAGAGAGCAGGCUGGGCUAGGGUCUGAAGGGACCAGGUCUCCCUCCAGUAAGUGCCUCCUGGCCUCCCAGAAAGGGCAAGACAGAAGGCUCUUAAGGAAUCCCCAACUCCUGUCCCCAGGGUGUCUUCAUUUCUCGGGUGUCUGAGGAGGGCCCUGCGGCCCGGGCUGGAGUCCGAGUGGGCGACAAACUCCUUGAGGUGAGUAGUGACUGCUGGCCAGUGACACCUGUGCUCUGGGGUGCCAUCUGGGCUGUUGGGGUAUUUAGUUGUGCCUAUCGGAUGGGGGCACUGUCUACCCUCUCCAGAAGCCCUGAGCCCCAGACCCCAGGACUCCCCCAAACCCUCUUUGGGCAGGAUGUGUAGUGCAGGCACCUAAAACCCCAGAAUCGGGAGGGCUGGGAAAGGGGUCAGACCCCAGCAGGUUGUGGGGCUCAGAUCCUUGUGAGAGACUUGGCACCCCCACCAGGGCACCUGGCUGUUGGAUAUAGGCUGUGCCCUUCCUGUGGGGACAAGGGUGAGGGCCCUGAGGGUAUCAGAAGAGGCUGGUGCUCCUCCUGCUCUCCUGCUCAGCUCUCUUCCCAGCCUCUCUUGGGGGCUCCUGUCCAAGGUGGCGUGUGAGUGUGGGGUCGGUGACCUGGUAAUCCUGGGCAUUCUCUGGGGCUGCUCAGACAGACCCAGAUGGUAGGUUUCCAGAAGCAAGGUGAGUGGUGUGGACUGUUCCAGGGGCAGAUGCCUGUGCUCUGGGAACCGCCAUAGGUGGGGACGAAGCCCAUCAGGAGCUCUGGGUACCCCCUCUCCCUGCCCUUCCCAUCCAUGGAGGGAAGCGUGGGCAGAGGCCACACGAGCCGUUGUCAUGGCGUCAGUGCUCAGGUGUCGGGGUGGCCGCAGCUGGGUGCUGACGUGUGCCGGGCCUCCCACACCUACAGGUGAACGGCGUGGCUUUGCAGGACGCUGAGCACCAUGAGGCUGUGGAGGCCCUCCGAGGGGCAGGCACAGCCGUGCAGAUGCGUGUGUGGCGGGAACGCAUGGUAGAACCUGAGAACGCAGUCACCAUCACACCCCUGCGGCCCGAGGACGACUACAGCCCCCGAGAGCGG